AUUGAACGCUGGCGUCAGGCCUAACACAUGCAAGUCGAACGAGUGGCGGACGGGUGAGUAAUGUCUGGGAAACUGCCUGAUGGAGGGGGAUAACUACUGGAAACGGUAGCUAAUACCGCAUACCAUCAGAUGUGCCCAGAUGGGAUUAGCUUGUUGGUGGGGUAACGGCUCACCAAGGCGGAGAUCCCGAGCUGGUCUGAGAGGGUGACCAGCCACACUGGAACUAGAAAACGGUCCAGACUCCUCGGGGAGGAGCAAUGGGGAAACUUUGGAAAAGUGGGUAAAGCCGGAGGAAGCAAGGCCGCGUGUAUGAAGAAGGCCUUCGGGUUGUAAAGUACGUUCAGCGGGGAGGCGUUACCCGAAGAAGAAGCACCGGCUAACUCCGUGCCAGCAGCCGCGGUAAUAC
rnacentral:rRNA from 1 species